rnacentral:lncRNA from 1 species
GGCCGUUGUUCCCUGAGGAUGGCAGACUUGUGGUUUGUCGAAGGCGUUGGGGAGUAGAGAGGUUUAUAUGUGCACGCAGCUGCCGUUCGAGUGGGCUUGUUUAGCCUGAUAAUAUUUCAUUUUUUCUUUUGGUCUUUCUCUUUAUUAGCAGUUUUAUCAUAUUUUAGCAUAGGAUGACCAGUAAUAGUCAGAAAGUAAUGCCUGUUAGAUUCAUUUGAGAGAUAUUUCCAACAAAGAAUAAACCACAAUUACUUUAGGUGAUGGUACAUGACUUCAUGUGGGAUUGAUAACUGUGAUUUAGACAAAUGCCAAAAUUUUCUUGAAUUCUUUAUAUUGAAAUAUAUGUUACAAAGUUCUCUUAUUCGCACAUUUUUAGUUUGUCAUUGUUAUUUCCAGAAACCAUCCACUAUAUCAGGAGUGGCCAAUCUUUUUGGAAGCAAGGGUGCAAUUAAAAAUUUUCAUGAAUAUUGCAGGCGCAAUAAUACGUAAUGACAUAUAUGUUUAUUGUUAAAGUUAUUUUUAAUUUUUUUUAAUU